rnacentral:rRNA from 1 species
AGGUAACGUCACCCGAUGAAGGUAUUCGCUCCACCGAGCCUCUUCCCUACCGAAAGGGCUUUACAACCCGCAGGCCUUCUUCACCCACGCGGCAUUGCUGGAUCAGGGUUUCCCCCAUUGUCCAAUAUUCCCC